rnacentral:rRNA from 1 species
UACGUGGGGUGCAAGCGUUGUUCGGAAUUACUGGGCGUAAAGCGCGUGUAGGUGGCCAAACGGGUCAGGUGUGAAAUCCCUCGGCUUAACUGAGGAAGUGCGCCUGAAACUAUUUGGCUCGAGUACGGGAGAGGAGGACGGAAUUCCCAGUGUAGAGGUGAAAUUCGUAGAUAUUGGGAGGAACACCGGUGGCGAAAGCGGUUCUCUAGACCGUAACUGACGCUGAGACGCGAAAGCGUGGGGAGCGAACAGG